rnacentral:rRNA from 1 species
AACGAACGCUGGCGGCAUGCCUAACACAUGCAAGUCGAACGAGACCUUCGGGUCUAGUGGCGCACGGGUGCGUAACGCGUGGGAACCUGCCCUUAGGUUCGGAAUAACUCCCCGAAAGGGGUGCUAAUACCGGACAAUGUCUUCUGACCAAAGAUUUAUCGCCUUUGGAUGGGCCCGCGUUGGAUUAGCUAGUUGGUAGGGUAAAAGCCUACCAAGGCGACGAUCCAUAGCUGGUCUGAGAGGAUGAUCAGCCACACUGGGACUGAGACACGGCCCAGACUCCUACGGGAGGCAGCAGUGGGGAAUAUUGGACAAUGGGCGAAAGCAUGAUCCAGCAAUGCCGCGUGAGUGAUGAAGGCCUUAGGGUUGUAAAGCUCUUUUAACCGGGAUGAUAAUGACAGUACCGGGAGAAUAAGCUCCGGCUAACUCCGUG